UUUGACCUCGAAUCAGGUAGGAUUACCCGC
rnacentral:rRNA from 1 species